GGAGUUAGCCGGUGCUUCUUCUGUGAGUGAUGUCCUUCCUGCCGGCUAUUAACCCGCAGGCCUUCUUCCUCACUGAAAGUGCUUUACAACCCGAAGGCCUUCUUCACACACGCGGCAUGGCUGGAUCAGGGUUGCCCCCAUUGUCCAAUAUUCCCCACUGCUGCCUCCCGUAGGAGUCUGGGCCGUGUCUCAGUCCCAGUGUGGCUGAUCAUCCUCUCAGACCAGCUACGGAUCGUCGCCUUGGUGAGCCGUUACCUCACCAACCAGCUAAUCCGACAUAGGCUCAUCCGAUAGCGCGAGGCCCGAAGGUCCCCCGCUUUCCCCCGUAGGGCGUAUGCGGUAUUAGCCUGGGUUUCCCCCAGGUUAUCCCCCACUACCGGGCAGAUUCCUAUGCAUUACUCACCCGUCCGCCGCUCGCCACCAGGGAGCAAGCUCCCCGUGCUGCCGCUCGACUUGCAUGUGUUAGGCCUGCCGCCAGCGUUCAAUCUGAACCAGAUCAAAUUCUGA
rnacentral:rRNA from 1 species